UCUCAUCCGUGGUGCCUCCGCCUCUCCCUUCUCAACGUUUCUGCCUUCCGCCUCCUCUCUCCCUCACGCGUCUUCAAGUCUAGACUUCCACCUCCCCUCUCCCUCCGGUGUCUUCAAGUCUUAGGCCGGAGUCUCCUUCGGCGUCUUCUCAAGUUUCCGACUUCUCCUUCUUCGACCUCUUGUCAAGUAUCCGGUGUCUCCUUCUCCUUCGUCUCAAGUCUCUGGCGUCUCCUCUUUCGUCCAUCUUUGAUCAAAUACAUCCCUUCUGUCCUAAUCCAAGACAACGAGACCGGCCUGUAGCUUUCACCCAUCUCCGAUUUCAACCUUUGCGUCUCAGAUUGAGACAUCCAUUUCGUCCAUCUCCAAUCUCAAAUAUUGAUCCUCCUCCGCUAAUUUGCUGGUCAAUUUGGGAAGACAGAAACAAAAGGACCGUUCACUCCACUGUGGCUUCAUUGGAAAAGAAGAUGGAGUGGAUUGAUGAAUCUGCCAAUGAAAUUGAAAACGUGAUUGACUCUUUGUCGCUAAGAUAUCUUGGUAGCGAUCUGAGGUAGGUCCUAACCUGGUCGUUCGCGAUGCGCAUCAGCUCCCCCUCUUUCGUGGUCUCUUUCAGCGAGGGGAUGCCUAAAGUUUAAUUUUGAUGUGCGCUUGACAUCUGGAUAAAUUAGAAACCGACUUGGAUAUCGUUGUUCGAGAUGGUUGAGGUCUGUGGUUGCUGUGAUGGUUGUGUUCCUUCCUGAAGUUGCUGAACAUUUUGGGUGUUCUUCAUGAUCUGAAGCUGGCCAUCGAAAUGGGUAAUGCAAAUCUAGAGGUUGAGUGUGGUGCAGAGGUGUUGCGAAGAAGAAACAAUCUUUGAAUUUCACUUUAUCCCUCUUCGGCAUCAUUUAUUUGUAGACUCCUACCUUAAUCUCUGUUUUAAAUGUAAGAGUUUUCGUUAUGCCUCCAAGUGUUGCAAUUGUGUAGCUCACCAGUUGGCUCAUUUUGCUAUUUCUUCUCAUUCUUCUUGUAAUUGGUUUUUGGACUUUCCUAAUUGGCUCUUCCAAUUUGUGGAGCUUGAUAAGAAGGAAUGUUUAAUUUAAUAGUCU